rnacentral:misc_RNA from 1 species
AUGGAUCACAGGGCCCCCAACUGGAGGAG